GACGAACGCUGGCGGCGUGCUUAGCACAUGCAAGUCGAACGGUGAACGAGGGAGCUUGCUCCCUCCGGAUCAGUGGCGAACGGGUGAGUAACACGUGAGCAAUCUGCCCCGAACUCUGGGAUAAGCGUUGGAAACGACGUCUAAUACCGGAUACGACGCGGGAGGGCAUCCUCUCCGCGUGGAAAGAACUUCGGUUCGGGAUGAGCUCGCGGCCUAUCAGCUUGUUGGUGAGGUAACGGCUCACCAAGGCGACGACGGGUAGCCGGCCUGAGAGGGUGACCGGCCACACUGGGACUGAGACACGGCCCAGACUCCUACGGGAGGCAGCAGUGGGGAAUAUUGCACAAUGGGCGCAAGCCUGAUGCAGCAACGCCGCGUGAGGGACGACGGCCUUCGGGUUGUAAACCUCUUUUAGCAGGGAAGAAGCGAAAGUGACGGUACCUGCAGAAAAAGCACCGGCUAACUACGUG
rnacentral:rRNA from 1 species